UUAACUUACACCCACACCGCCAGGGGAUUACGAGCAAUGCUUAAAACCCAAAGGAUUUGACGGUGUCCCACCCUACUAGAGGAGCCUGUUCUAUAAUCGAUAAUCCCCGCUUCACCUAACCAUCCCUCGCCUCCAGUCUGUAUACCUCCGUCGAAAGCUUACCAUGUGAACGCCCGCAGUAGGCUUAAUGAUCCACCAUCAGUACGUCAGGUCAAGGUGCAGCUUAAGAGAUGGCAAGCAAUGGGCUACAAUUUCUAAUUUAGAACAAACGAAAGACUAUGUGAAACCCUAGUCAUGAAGGUGGAUUUAGUAGUAAAAAGAAAGCAGAGUGUUCUUUUUAACCCGGCUCUGGGACGCGUACACACCGCCCGUCACCCUCUUCAAUAGUACUUCAUCUGUUCAUAACCUAACACCACAUUUUAGAAGAGGCAAGUCGUAACAUGGUAAGUGUACUGGAAAGUGCACUUGGUAUACUA
rnacentral:rRNA from 1 species